UCAGCGAGUGGCGCGGGCGCUUUACGGGUCGAGGCGGAGGGUUCCAACUGGCCGGAAGAGGGGGGAGAGGGGAGCAGGGCAGGCAGCGGCCGGCCCCUCGCGGCCGCGGCGCGGUACGCCGGGACGAGGGCGCACGAGCGGCGCUCCGUGGAGGACGCCCCGAGGGCGAAGGUCGAGGGGCGCCGCGAGGCCGCCGGGCCGCCCUGGUUGCCGGGCGGGCGCGGCUGCGGAGUGGAGCCCCCGAAGCCUGGUCCGACGUCCCAGAGAGGCCCCUGCCCCCCUGCGCGGGGGAACCCGGGGGAGGUGACGGACGAGGGCCCGAGCCGGAAGGGCGGCGCCACCACGCGCACCGGAGAGACGCUGGACUCUCCCUUACGUAAGAGGUGAAGACGGUCACGACACUGUCGACCCUUUGGCCGACUACUGUUGCUCGUAUUUCUACGGGGCUUCUUCCUGUAGCUACUAGUCUAUCGUCUAUAAGUCUAGGAAGUAUUGGAAACCUUCAUGAACUCCGACUUGUUAUCGGCGCUAAAGUUGUAGUCCUAACACAACAGGAACCCAGAGAAUCAGCCGCGUUUCCAGUAUUUACAAGUUCACGGAAAGAACAAAUUCGAACGAUAGCUAACCGAACGUCGUGAACCGCCGCGACUUCGGAGUGACCGUCCUAAAUGUCUACGAUUACGUUGGGACAACCGAGAGAAACGUUCGGGUCGUCGUCAAGACUAACCUAUACCAUAACGUGCCAGUCCUCAUAGUCGAACAUGUCUUGACGCCUUACGAAAUAAAAGCUUUCAAUGGACCUCUCGGUAGGCAAGUGAGAGGUCCUACCACAAAAGAGUGAACGUACUCGAACUAGAAGCAAUAGUAGAUUCGGCCGUUUGACCUCGAGAUUUAGCGUAUUAACUGUCUCCCUCGUUGCGUUAUUUAAAGUAAGAAUGCCACUGUCACAAGUUAUAACAAGGGUGUUAUGAUCUCUAACCAUACCACAGUUCAUAUGAACGGAUGUUCAAGCCGAGGUGAAAACGAACCUAAUGAAGUCAAAGUCAACGAUGAAUAUAACAAAAGUGAAACCGAAACUGUGUCACCGCCUGGUUCAAGUCCUGUCGGUACUUAUUUCGACUAUUACGAAGACCACGCCACCGUCAACUGAGGGAAGACUUAAUGCUCUGACAGUUUAUGAAGUUGUUACUCGUUAAACUUCAAGUCUUCAUACUGUUUAUAAAUUUCUCUAUGCUCCUAAGACGUGACUUUCGGGUUUCAUCGGAACGGAUGAACUUGAAACCCGUUUUACAAUAUAAAUCACACAGUAAUAGGUGUCGUUACCAAAACUCGAGUAUACCACAUUACUCACCACGAGACUGACAGCCACUAAACCAUUACCAAUUACCUGAAGAUAAGGUCGAGAGUCACGGAGACUUGAAGGAACCAUCACAAAUAGCUCUUAGAUCUGUUUCGGAAUAACUGUACUUCAGGUACAAAGUUAACGAACUCCUUUUUGGACCUUAUUUCCUACUCGAAGUACGUGUUGGAAACGUCAAGUUCCCUCCUACGUAACUUAAGCUCUUACAGGUAAAGCCCAUACGGGGUCUUUCCUGCUAAGAAUUACCCCGGUGAAAGUGACAUGGUCGUCCUUUUUCACACCGUUAACAACCUUGAUCACCGUCGCCUUUCAGUUGGUAUGAAUUUGAAGAGAAAUCUAAAAAACUAAGUUGAAGUCCUAGAUAUGCUUAUCUGCCCGUUCUAUAGGCCCCUCAGUGUGACCUGUCAGAAGCCUUCAGCGAACCACAACACGGUGUCCUAUGCCAUGAAAAGUUACUGUGUUAAUUCGUAUUAUAUGUUAUACCCGCCAAUAGUCGUUUACUACUUCUCCAAAUGCUACGACGAGCUGCACGGAGAUAGGUACUAUGUUAAUACUUGAAAGGACUGUUCAUACUGUGCCAACACCCUCUCGCACCUAACUUCAAUUCACCACCACUCUUUGUUGCUCAGAGUUAACGAGCACAUAAGAACUUCCUCGGGAGGUAAGACAAUACACUACUUCGAUGUUCGCGUGACCUAUCGUGAUGACUUAGCAGCUAAGACUUAAGAGAUUACAGAAAUAGGCAGCUAGCUUGGAGCCAUAAAUAACGAGUAGCUGAGUGUUGACGUUACGAUACACUACUCUAGUAGCAGAACCUCUUACCUUGUCAUCACCUUGUUCCCGGUGUACUAGAAGAAGACAGCUUCGUGCCCGCAAUACGGCUUGAAACCAGGGUCGUCUUAUGGUGACUUCCGUCAACUACGAAGACGAAAACCAUGUAUUCAAACUAUGUGGGUUAUGCAAAAGGGAAACGUACCCUUUUGUUAUGUAUCGGUAUAAAGUUGACUUCGUCCAAAAAUAAAUAGACGGAACAUUUACGUGAAGAACUCUAAAGUCUAUGUCCCCCUUCAAGAGGUAAAAUCUCUCGGCUCUCCGAUUUAAAAGGACAUGUCUAUAGAUUGUUAUGGCCGCAUACAGGUAUACAGGUAUGUAGUCCCUGACUUCUUUCACUACAACUAGCUUACUAGACGUGGCAGGGUGUUCGCAGCAGGAAGCAGUUAGCGGCCAUACCGUUAUCUCGAGGUACCCCGACUGGUCGCCGGAGGGGCUCUUCUUCCGCAGCUCCAACCGCUACUGCUGGAGUUCGUGCGGCGGCUACCUGAGGCCGCACUCGUGCCGGGACACCAGGCUCUCGUGCUGCAACAGGUACCGCUCGUCGAGGCCGCCGUGCCGGCCGAGCAAGAGCAUGUGCAGGUCCGGCCGCGGCGGCUACUGCGGGACCG
rnacentral:rRNA from 1 species